rnacentral:rRNA from 1 species
AUGGAGGGUGAAGCACGCACUGACAGAGAGCUAGCUGUUGAGCUUAGGAUGUUGAAGAAGAAGGUUAGGAAGCUUGAAGAUCAAGCACUACCAAUACCCAUUUGCAAAUACUUUUGGGCAUUUGUAGGUAUGGGCUUCUCACCCCCUCUUUUGAAUGACAACCACAAGUUCUCGAGCUUCAUGACUUGGUUUAGGGAAGAAAUUAUAUGCUUGGGCACGGACAUUUUUUAA